rnacentral:rRNA from 1 species
UGGGGAAUAUUGGACAAUGGGGGAAACCCUGAUCCAGCCAUGCCGCGUGAAUGAUGAAGGCCUUCGGGUUGUAAAGUUCUUUUGGCGGGGACGAUGAUGACGGUACCCGCAGAAUAAGCUCCGGCUAACUUCGUGCCAGCAGCCGCGGUAAUACGAAGGGAGCUAGCGUUGUUCGGAAUUACUGGGCGUAAAGGGCGCGGAGGCGGUUCGACAAGUCAGAGGUGAAAGCCCUGGGCUCAACCCGGGAACUGCGUUUGAUACUGUCGAGCUUGAAUUCGGGAGAGGUGAGUGGAAUUCCCAGUGUAGAGGUGAAAUUCGUAGAGAUUGGGAAGAACACCGGUGGCGAAGGCGGCUCACUGGACCGACAUUGACGCUGAGGCGCGAAAGCGUGGGGAGCAAACA